rnacentral:rRNA from 1 species
GACGAACGCUGGCGGCGUGCUUAACACAUGCAAGUCGAACGCUGAAGCUCAGCUUGCUGGGUGGAUGAGUGGCGAACGGGUGAGUAACACGUGAGUAACCUGCCCCCUUCUUUGGGAUAACGCCCGGAAACGGGUGCUAAUACUGGAUAUUCACUGAUCUUCGCAUGGGGGUUGGUGGAAAGGUUUUUUCUGGUGGGGGAUGGGCUCGCGGCCUAUCAGCUUGUUGGUGGGGUGAUGGCCUACCAAGGCUUUGACGGGUAGCCGGCCUGAGAGGGUGACCGGUAACAUUGGGACUGAGAUACGGCCCAGACGACUACGGGAGGCAGAAGUGGGGAAUAUUGCACAAUGGGCGAAAGCCUGAUGCAGCGUCGCCGAAUGAGGGAUGGAGGCCUUCGAGUUGUAAACCUCUUUCGCUCAUGGUCAAGCCGCAACAUUGGUUGUGGUGAGGGUAGUGGGUAAAGAAGCGCCGGCUAACUACGUG